AAACCAUACUGUGGACACUUCCAUAAGAGGUUCUUGAAUCGCUCAAAUGUCUCAAACAAGGAUUCAAGCUCCAUCUGAACAAACAAUGAUAUUUCAUUACGAAGCUU